GUCACGGCUCAGAUGCCCCCUUUCUGCACAGUCUUCCCUUCUCGCUUCAGGGAGCGAUGCCCUUUUCCUCUUCUGAAAAGAAGGGUUCCUCUUCUUAAAAGAAGGGUGUUUCGUUUUUAUUUUUGUCCUCGAUGUGUUCCAGUGCAUAAUUGUGUGUAAGGAUCCCCUGCCUCUGAGAUCGAAGGCUCCCGAGGAGAGAGCUACGAUGUCUUGUUCACCUUGGGUAUCUUUUAGAGGCGAGUAAUAUGUAUUUAAACGGAGCACCUCGUGAGAUUGACGGAAGGCACACUGAGCCCCAGAGGAGUGGAAGACGGGUUUGGAGGCUCUUGGGGGAGCAGGAAGUGGUCGGAACAUGCGGCAUCAGCCCUGGUGGGUGACGGCAAGACAAGUGAAUAAUACAGUCACCUGGGGCAGUGGGGGGCAGCCCCAGGGGAAGAGGAGAGGUUGAUAGCAGCCUUCUCCAGUUUUACAAUGUUGCCUCGGGCUGGCCCCGAGUGCGGACACGGGGAAUUCUGCUGGGGAGAGCAAGGGAAUUUGCUGGAAGCCCGUGUUACAGCUCAUAACACUACAUCCGAGUCUUUGGUGGAAAGUAGCCCGUUACCAUAUCCCUUGGGUGGCUCAAAGUCACAGCAUCGUGGAAUGUUAGAACUGGAAGGAAAUUGACAGAGGAUGUUGCCAAGCCCCUCAGGGUCAUGGGCAGGGAAAUUCAGACCCAGAAAGGUUAAACCGCUCUCCCAAGGUUACACAGAGGUACGUAGCAGAGCCUCAGUGCCCGUCACUUCCCUGCGUUUAGCCUUCCAUUACCCAAAAUCGAAGAUGAAGACACACUGAUUGCCCAGAGCUUGGUUGUUUUGGCCACUCGGUGACAUUUACUGUCUCGUCCUACGAGCGUCGUCUUUUAAAAUCUGUGCCGGAAGAGGGUAGGUGCGUUGCGGGGAACCAUGACGUCUUUCUUUGGCAGGAGACCGAGGACGGGGAGGUGGUGAUUCCAAGGAUUCUUCCUCCUGACACUGGGUUCCCGGAAGAAAGCUGGAUGUGGACACUGUCUAGGCGGGUGACACCUGCGACUAUGAUUCGGGUUUCCGGUCCAUUCCGAGGGCCUCUGGGCUUGGCAUGAAGAACAUUCCACGAAGGUGGGACUAUCCAGGACAGCCGAGGAGGGCGGCUUUAGAACGAACGUGGAGGGGGAUGGGAUAUCUCAUCCCCAUGGAAACAGCAAUGGUGGCCUUGGAUCGUGAGCAGAGCGCAGAAUAAAUUAGAAAACAAGAACCCCGUUCCCUCUGAUAUCCGUUUAUUAGAAGGACUCGGUGACGAAGGAAGAUAUAAAUUGGAAGCAAUGCUGCAUUUGAGGAAGCUGGUAUGAUGGAAUGGGUAGUUUCGAGAGGGUAAUCCAGGCAGACUUCCUGGAAGAGCUCGUGUAGGGGCACCCGAGUCACAGGUGGAAGACGAGAUCAGGUCCGGGCACGGCUGGAGAUCACUGAUCCCACCUUGGGGUGGAAGAGUCUGGAUUCCCAUGACGAGUGUCCGAGUUGGCAGAAGAACCAACGAGGGAAAGAGAGAGAAUCUCAAGUAGGCUCCUUCACAUGGAGCCCAACAAAGGGCUCGAUCCCACGAUCCUGGGAUCAUGACCAGGGCCGAAAUCAUGAGACGGACGCUCAAGCCACUGAGCCACCCAGAUGCCCCCAAGAAAGGCCCUUAAAGGUCAUUUUAGCCUAAGUCAAGAAAUGAUAACUAUUAAGUGAUCAAGGCAUUUGGGAAUGCCAAGUGUCAGAACCCUGAAGAAGCAAAGAAGAGUCGUGUUUUCUCACAGUGGCAGCUUAGGGACCCCAAGGUCUUUUUCCAAACAAGGUUGAGCGUAAAUGAUGAGGGAUGUGUUGAAUUGGCGAACAGUUGGGUGUAGUGGAAAAAAUUUCGCCUUGGAAGGUAGAAGGCCAGAAUUCAAAGAACAUGUAGUUGGGAAAAAUCCCUUCGUGGUAGGACCCCAGUUAGCUUGAUGCCUGCCGUGUGUGUGUGUGCUGAGUUGAAACCACGGUCUGGGGACGCCCGGGUGGUUCAGUCGGUUAAGUGUCCAACUCCUGAUUUCUGGCUGAGGUCAUGAUCUCAUGGUUCGUGAGUCCAAGCCCCUUGUCAGGCUCCAAGUGGACAGGGCUGA